GCAGCACAUCAGCCAGCCGUGGGUAAAAGACAGUGCUUACACCUAAAAGAGCAAUUUGAAAUCAAUGCUGAUUAAUUGCAGGGGUCAUCCAAUCAGGGAGGAUGCAAUUUAGAGAAGACUAAUGGUCUUGGGGUUAAGGAACUUGCUGCCUUCUCAGGUGAUUUCAGUUUAAUUAUUGCUUCAGUUCUUGACUUCCUAAUUAAGUCAAUUAAUCUCUCCUGUUCUGUGAACUUCAUCUCUAGAAGAGGCUAAUUGCAGCUGACUCUUUCGCCUUUUUAGUUUUUCAGUUCUUUGUGGUAAGAAUUAAUUGUUCCUGUUUUAUUUUUAUCCUUGCUGGGAUUUAGACCUCUGUACCGGUUAAGAUAAGCCAUAAUAUAGGACUAAUUUUUAUUUCCUGGGAGACGUUCACCAAAGUUGUCAGAGUGGAGAAAAAUGGACAUCUCUAUAGGCCAGGUCUCACAGUUCUUAAAUUCAGGUAUUGCUUUAGAUGAAAGACUUGGAUGUUCAUGCAGAGUGUUCGGCAUAAGCCUGACAGAUGUGCAGCCCUGGCCUAUGCACCAGGUAGUUCAAGGUGUCCCUGCACAGUGCUGUGUUCCUGGAGGAACUAGCUGUCCAGGGCUGAUUAUAAAAGUAAUUACAUGAUGGUUGCCAGUGCUGACCCUCUCUGACUGUCAGGCACUGAAAACUGAUGAACAAGAAUUACAGUCAUCCAAAUGCAUACAGAAAAGUUGUGAAUUUCUGAAUUCUUUUGCAGACAUCUGAGAAAAGAGGCAAAAGUUGCCAGGCAAGAAAUCUAUCAUCUAAAAAAGAGCAAACCCAAAAUCGUUUGAUGAACUUUUACAGAGGAUUCUGCAGUUGGGAGUGGACUGGCUUUACUUUGCUCAUAGCUGGGGCACAGCAGUGGAGGGUGAGAGACUUUGUCAAAGUCUGUUUCAACCCACAGAAACCUAUGAGGACUUUCAGGGAGCUGGCCAGGAGCAAGCCUAAAGUGUUCCUUACAGUGUGUUCACGGUAGGUUAGACAAGAUCAGUAAUUGUCCUUUCUAAGACAUACCAUUUGAAUGGAAGAGAGAGAUAAACAAGGAGGCAACAGAGGAGGCAUUUGGGAAAGAACUAUCUGCAGCCAGCACACUCCAAAGCCACAGGGAGUUAAAUAUGGGCAGAGCAAAUCUUUUAUCUUUUUGACAUUAAGAAAUUCCAUCUGGAGCUUUCAGCACAAAGGGAAGGCUAGAGAAGAGGGGCUAUGGUCUUAGAUAAACAGCCAACAAAAAGAACAAUAUGUAAGCAGAGAAUCUAACAGAUGUGGAAAAGGGGAUUAAGUAGUGAAGAAGAUAACGUAUUACAGCUUAUAAAUUGUGAGGAAGGAUUGUGAGACACCAAGAUGAGUGAGACUUGGCAAAAGGAAUUAAAUAACAAAAACUUUUGGAACAGAGUGAACAAAAGAGAAGAAGGAGGGAAAGAAUAAAUAAGGUUGCUGUGCAGUUAGCAGGCAUUCCAGGUGGAAGAUUAUUUGUGUGUGGUCUCAGCAUUAUACUGAGCCCUGAGUCUGUGCUACCAUGUUUUCUUCUCUCCUAAGGAUAAUUCUGCAGAGCAGGGAGAGGGCUAACCAAAAGAUAGCCUCAUGCUCAGUGGGGCAGAUGAUCUCAAUCCCAAAUAUGUGUCAAAAAUCAGUCAUGUGACAUUGCAACUUAAUGAGGCAACAAUUUGAUGAAUUUAUUUGAAGCAUGUUUCUGUGGGACAGAAACAAUUGUAAACUUCAUAAAUAGAAUAGGGGGUACAGCACAACCUACCUGUUGUUCUGCUGUACCUGUUGUUCUCCUAACAUGGAUAAACUAGGAGGCUUUCAAAAAACUCUUCAAGAAAAAUUAUUUUAAACAAAGACAAAAUUGAGUAAAACAUGUUGGUAGACUUGCUCUGUAGCCAAGAGCUUUAUUUCUUUGCCAACUGAAUUGGUUGGCCAGAUAAGAGAAAUGGGAACAUGCGUGUCUGAUCUUUUCUUCCAGCCAUUGGAAGCACCUGCAAGGUAGAGUUGUGCCAUUUGGACUUCAUUGAUGCUUUGGAAAUAACAUUAGAGGGACAUUAAUUAGCUCAAUAUGAGGAGAGGGCAAAUAGCACACAUAUUGUUAGAUUAAAAAAAUUGACUGAAAAGGAGAUAAAUGAGAUAAGAACAGCCUGAAAGAAGAUCUGUGGGGCUGGAAGUUGCCAGCAUGGUCCCAUCGUUAAGCUUCCGUCUUUUGUUUCGUAUUUUCCUGAAUCAUCGAGGCAUUGAAAAUAGGGAGUUGUUACUGAAAUGUGCUGCUGGCACAGCCAUGGGAAGGUCUGAAUGAUCACAUGGGGAGUAUUAUGUGAGGUGCCACCUGCAGAGGUAUCAGUGACAGGAAGUAUAACACUAUGGAGAGCAAACUGGAAUGCGUAUUAACCCAAAACACUGAACUGCUUGUGUUUCUCCUACAAGCUGAUGAGCCACAUUUGGAAGCAGUAGAAGAGGAUAAGAUUUGGAUUAAUUAGUUGGGUACAGGAACAUCACAUGUGAUUUAGCUUAGCAACAGCCUUGGCAAUUCCUGGUAGGAGAUGCCACUUCUUUAUCCAGAAGCCUGCUAGACACCUAGAGCUGUUUCUAGGGUGGCCAAGACAGAGAAGAGUGUAUCUAAUGGGCUCUUACUGGGUUUAGGCUAAGGAUGUGAGGUUGUUGGGUUUGCAAUCAGUCUGUUGGAGCAAUAGCAGACGGACAGAAAAACUAUUUCAGCCAUAGCGCAGUGUUAGCUCAAGGAUAAAUUGUGUAUGGACUGAUUGUGAUGAUCUGAACACUGGAAAAUUAAUAUUCCUCCUCACAUGAGCCAGGAGGUGCUUCAGUGGGAGGUUUCAUGACAGGAAUCCAAACUGUUUCUCAGAUGGAUGCUUUUUUGAAAGGCAGUUUAUGAAAUGAUUACUGAGGUAUCUGGGGCCCAAGCUCUGUAGUCCUAGGGUUCCUUCCUGGAGUUUCUGACAGUGACUGCAUCAAUCUGGCCUGGAAUAUUCUCUGUUUCACAUGGGACGGGAGCAGAUGUAUCCUCUUCCCUGUUCAGAUUCCAGCUGCAUCCAGUCUUGCCUUCCAGUCCUGUGUUUCUCUGCUCUUGACCUAGCAGAGAGAGAUUAUAAAGCUUCCUCAGCCACUUGAGAGCACUUCUUAGGCAGUCCAAGGGAUUGUGGUUAUGCAGUUUCAGCUCUUUUUCUCAGCUGAACACCCACAUAUGUGAAUAAAUGCAGUUUCUACAGAAUUCUCCAUAUUUCACCCACAGAGUGCAAGCACUGGUCUCUGACUCCAACAGAGUUUUGAAUCUCUGGAGCAAGAAAGUCUCCCUAUAGAUCAAAGUCAAAACUGCUCUAAACUGAGUGUUUUUUCAGAUCUCCUCAGCUCCUACCUGAAGAAUUGUUUAAGGGUGGUGAGUUGUCAGUCUCCAAUAAGAGAGGGGUACAGACCUAUUUUAAGGUGUGUGAACAGUCUAGAGAAGUGAUAAUGAUCAUGGUGCCUGGGACACCUG